rnacentral:rRNA from 1 species
GCAGUAGCCGCGGUAAUACAGAGGGUGCGAGUGUUAAUCGGAUUUACUGGGCGUAAGCGUGCGUAGGCGGCUUCUUAAGUCGGAUGUGAAAUCCCUGAGCUUAACUUAGGAAUUGCAUUCGAUACUGGGAAGCUAGAGUAUGGGAGAGGAUGGUAGAAUUCCAGGUGUAGCGGUGAAAUGCGUAGAGAUCUGGAGGAAUACCGAUGGCGAAGGCAGCCAUCUGGCCUAAUACUGACGCUGAGGUACGAAAGCAUGGGGAGCAAACAGGAUUAGAUACCCCGGUAGUCCCUGUCUCUUAUACA